UGGUACCCUGGGGGCGCCCACCUCCCCCUCUAGUCGACCUCCCCCAUGCCUGCCCUACUGCAGACCUGGGAAGAAGGGAAGAAGAAGAAAGGGAAAGAAGGAAGCGGAGGGAAUUGAGGUGAAGAAGGAAAUGAGGGGUUUUGGUUGCCGCUGCCCAUGGAGGCCUAGGUAUCUAAUACAUGAUCUUUUCCCCCUGUUUUGGUUUUCUAUUAGGGUUUAGAUCAAGUGUUGGAAGCGAGUAAGUUUGGGAUCAACCGAUUUAUUCCUCAGCCAGGUUUUUGCUGAUCUGUCCCCUGCACAGUUCUGGUUUGGAUGCCUUUUCGGCCAUCAUAAUGGGAUUUCCUGCGAAACGUCUCUAUACAAAAGUUGUAGAUAACGUGUAGAUCUAUCUUCUGACCAAAUGGCAUGAGUUUAUAUCAAGUGGUUUAGGAGAUAUCAAUUUCUGAAGUUGACUGUCUGAAUAUCGAUGCAUUUUUUCUGUAGUCGAGGUUCAGAGGGAUUUUAGAGGAUCUUAAUGAUGGAAUCAGAGAAUCUUGUUUUUACAGAAGUUGUAGCAUAUGUUGUGAUCUACCUCCUACAUAAAAAUUGUUAGCUUUUAUCUUGUAGUUUGUUGUCAGUGCUCUCUUGAAUGGUUGUUGCACAGUUUUCUGGGCAGAUGCACUUCUCUGUUUUGUGCCAUGUUUUAGGCCAGCUAAAUGGAAGAAUUCAAUUUUGUUAUCUAAAUGAAAGUUGUAAUUCUUGUUCUGUAGAUGUCAGAAAUGACAUAUUUUUCUGUGUUAUGUGAUGUAGAAUUGGAGGUAUCAAAUUGUUAAUCUAUGCUGCUUUUAUAGGAAGAUUAUCAGUGAUUUGCUUUAUGUUGUUUGGGGUGGGAUCCCAGCGUAGGAAGCGUAUGUGUGAUUCUUGAAUGAUUAUGCAUGUUGUUUGAGUCUGAGCCGGUGUUUAUUUAGGUGAUGCCACUUCGGAAUGCAACUAGAGUUCAUCUCAUCAUCGGUGAAGGCAAGUAAACGUAGCGGUGGUUUGCUACAGCCUUGACUUGUUAUUUGAUUCUACCUCCACGUUGAAAUUAUAUAUCAUCAACCAAGAUUAUUAUAUAUUACACCGAGGAUUUACCUAUCUGAAUCAUACUUAUUGAUUUUACACUGUUUAUGGUUAUACUUUAUGCUCUUGGUUAUAAUAACCUUAUACUGAUCUCCAUCGAAGGAAUGUGGUUCCGAUGUUAUACUCUGGAAUUCAUACUGCAUUUGCAUCACUUGCAUUGCAUUUGAAGUUAUGUCGUGAACCUAUGGUUGCGACCGUACCGGUACAGCAUCGUAUAUUGCCGUAAUACGAUGCAGCUUCACACCUUGUUGGGUGUGAAGGCAGGAGUACAUAUCAUUGCAUUGUAUAUGCACAUAUUGCAGGACGUUAUGAAAAUUAUUGAUCGAAGAUGUCUUUGAGAAGUGUUUUCUUCUCUAGGAUUUGUGAGUAUAUGGAUUUGAUUGGUGACGCUAUGAUGUUUUAGUUCCUUGGAUUUUGAACUUGUCUUUAUGUGAAUCAUAACUUGGUAUUUAAAUUAGUUAUAUAAUAAACAUGUGGUUUAAAUAGCUUGUUAAAGCCAUUUGCUUGCUGAGAUUUAUUCUCACCCCCUUAUAGUCUUUUCAGGUACUUGCUGUGACAUGUUUGCAUGAAGGGAUAGGAUUAGCUACACAGUCGCACGACAUGAUCUCACUUAGUCAUGAUUAUUGUAAUAUCUUGAUAAGAAUACUUGUGUUUAGACAUAAUGGGUUAAUUAAAUACUAGAGUUGUUGACCAUUGAUUAGCCACUUUUUCAAGCCUAUCCCUACAUGUCAGUCAAUUGUUGUAUCAUAACCUUAAUCUAUAUGUUGAUGCUUCCGCGAUGUUUUCUUGUCUAAGAUAGUUGUUGCCGAAAUUUGCUUGUUUUGGCACUUAUGUGUGGUUGUUUAGUGGCAUCCCAGGCUUAUGUGGUUUUCUGGGGUGUUACAUUCUCUCUGGUCAGCAACAAAUUUAAGGUAUUUUUUAUUAAUAUUUCUCCAUUAAAAUGAAUCUGCAGGGUUCUUAAGCAUACCAUUAACCCUUCGAUCCGUGGCAUGCUGUUCAUGUGAAAACACGGCGGCCUAGGGGAUCUUCUUAACUCCAGUGCAAGUCCAAGG
rnacentral:lncRNA from 1 species